rnacentral:rRNA from 1 species
CCUACGGGUGGCAGCAGUGAGGAAUAUUGGUCAAUGGGCGCGAGCCUGAACCAGCCAAGUCGCGUGAGGGAAGACGGUCCUAUGGAUUGUAAACCUCUUUUGUCGGGGAGCAAAAGACGCCACGCGGGGCGGUCCGAGAGUACCCGAAGAAAAAGCAUCGGCUAACUCCGGGCAAGCAGCCGCGGUAAUACGGAGGAUGCGAGCGUUAUACGGAUUUAUUGGGUGUAAAGGGUGCGCAGGAGGAAGAUCAAGUCAGCGGUAAAAUUGAGAGGCUCAACCUCUUCGAGCCGUUGAAACUGGUUUUCUUGAGUGAGUGAGAAGUCUGCGGAAUGCGUGGUGUAGCGGUGAAAUGCAUAGAUAUCACGCAGAACUCCGAUUGCGAAGGCAGCAUACCGGCGCUCAACUGACGCUCAUGCACGAAAGUGUGGGUAUCGAACAGGAUUAGAUACCCCGGUAGUC